GGAUCCUUCUUUAGGGAAAUCGAGUUAUGGAUUUAUGGUCCCGGUCAAGCUCAGCCCAUCCCCAGGCAGGGGCGGGCUCAGCGAGCAGCAAGAGUUCUGGUGGCGGCGGCGGCGGCAGUAGCAGCGGCAGCGGUAGCAGCGGCAGCGGUAGCAGCGGCAGCGGUAGCAGCGGCAGCGGUAGCAGCGGCAGCGGUAGCAGCGGCAGCGGUAGCAGCGGCAGCGGUAGCAGCGGCAGCGGUAGCAGCGGCAGCGGUAGCAGCGGCAGCGGUAGCAGCGGAGCGGUAGCAGCGGCAGCGGCAGCUUGGUCCUCUGACUCUCUUCGGUGACGGGUAUUCUUGGGUGGAUAAUACGGAUUACGUUGUUAUUGCUUAAGAAUACGCGUAGUCGAGGAGAGUACCAGCGGCAGGGGGGCAGCGGCCGCCCUCCCCAGCCCACCAG
rnacentral:precursor_RNA from 1 species